AUUGAACGCUGGCGGCAGGCCUAACACAUGCAAGUCGAGCGGUAGAGAGGUGCUUGCACCUCUUGAGAGCGGCGGACGGGUGAGUAAUGCCUAGGAAUCUGCCUGGUAGUGGGGGAUAACGUCCGGAAACGGACGCUAAUACCGCAUACGUCCUACGGGAGAAAGCAGGGGACCUUCGGGCCUUGCGCUAUCAGAUGAGCCAAGGUCGGAUUAGCUAGUUGGUGAGGUAAUGGCUCACCAAGGCGACGAUCCGUAACUGGUCUGAGAGGAUGAUCAGUCACACUGGAACUGAGACACGGUCCAGACUCCUACGGGAGGCAGCAGUGGGGAAUAUUGGACAAUGGGCGAAAGCCUGAUCCAGCCAUGCCGCGUGUGUGAAGAAGGUCUUCGGAUUGUAAAGCACUUUAAGUUGGGAGGAAGGGUUGUAGAUUAAUACUCUGCAAUUUUGACGUUACCGACAGAAUAAGCACCGGCUAACUCUGUGCCAGCCGCCGCCGUAAUAC
rnacentral:rRNA from 1 species